rnacentral:rRNA from 1 species
AGUGAACGCUGGCGGUAGGCCUAACACAUGCAAGUCGAACGGCAGCACAGGAGAGCUUGCUCUCUGGGUGGCGAGUGGCGGACGGGUGAGGAAUACAUCGGAAUCUGCCCAGUCGUGGGGGAUAACGUAGGGAAACUUACGCUAAUACCGCAUACGACCUUCGGGUGAAAGAGGGGGAUCGCAAGACCUCUCGCGAUUGGAUGAGCCGAUGUCGGAUUAGCUAGUUGGCGGGGUAAUGGCCCACCAAGGCGACGAUCCGUAGCUGGUCUGAGAGGAUGAUCAGCCACACUGGAACUGAGACACGGUCCAGACUCCUACGGGAGGCAGCAGUGGGGAAUAUUGGACAAUGGGCGCAAGCCUGAUCCAGCCAUACCGCGUGGGUGAAGAAGGCCUUCGGGUUGUAAAGCCCUUUUGUUGGGAAUGAAAUCUUUCAGGCUAAUACCCUGGGAGGAUGACGGUACCCAAAGAAUAAGCACCGGCUAACUUCGUG